GAAAUGCGAUAAGUAAUGUGAAUUGCAGAAUUCAGUGAAUCAUCGAAUCUUUGAACGCACCUUGCGCCCUUUGGUAUUCCGAAGGGCAUGCCUGUUUGAGUGUCAUUAAAUUAUCAACCUAGAAAGCUUUUGCUCUUCUACGGCUUGGACUUGAGGGCUUUGCUGGCUUCCUUCAUUGGAUUGGUCUGCUCCCUUUAAAUGCAUUAGUGGGAUCUCCCUGUAGCCGGUCUUUCGGUGUGAUAAUUAUCUGCACUGUUUGUACUUACGGUGGAGCCUGCUUCUAACCGUCCUUCAGUUGGACAAUACCUUUUUUAAUUUGACCUCAAAUCAGGUAGGACUACCCGCUGAACUUAA
rnacentral:misc_RNA from 1 species